GACAGAGGGUGCAAACGUUUGUUCGGAAUUACUGGGCGUAAAGCGCGUGUAGGCGGCAGGGCAAGUCGGAUGUGAAAUCCCGUGGCUCAACCACGGAAGUGCACCCGAAACUGCCCAGCUAGAGUCUCGGAGAGGAAGGUGGAAUGCUUGGUGUAGAGGUGAAAUUCGUAGAUAUCAAGCGGAACACCGGGUGGCGAAGGCGGCCUUACUGGACGAUGACUGACGCUGAGACGCGAAAGCGUGGGGAGCAAACAGGAUUGAAGAUACCCGGGUGUAAGUCCGAGACCAAGUCCUCUGCUACCGAUAAC
rnacentral:rRNA from 1 species